GUUUGGGGCCGCCGUUCAUCAGGAGGGUCCAGUCCAUCCUCAGCUUGGCCCUCAUCAUCUGUGAAUGUUACUAUCAUCUCAUGAGACAGGUGAAAUGAAGCAGGCUUGAAGCCACGGAGAGCACCGUCCCACACGUUGGUUUGUUCAUAUGCAAGCUGCUGUGAGAUGCUGUUGUGAUCUUCACUGAGAGUUCUGACACAAUGUCUGCAGCAGUUCGGUCCUCUAGGCUAUCCUCUGGUCCAGGUCUUCCUCUGG